GAAAUGCGAUACUUGGUGUGAAUUGCAGAAUUCAGUGAAUCAUCGAAUCUUUGAACGCACAUUGCGCCCUCUGGUAUUCCGGGGGGCAUGCCUGUUCGAGCGUCAUUACAACCCUCAAGCUCUGCUUGGUAUUAGGCUUCACCCUUAGGGGCGGGCUUUAAAAUCAGUGGCGGUGCCAUUCGGCUUCAAGCGUAGUAAUUCUUCUCGCUCUGGAGACCCGGUUGUGUGCUUGCCAGCAACCCCCAAUUUUUUAAGGUUGACCUCGGAUCAGGUAGGGAUACCCGCUGAACUUAA
rnacentral:misc_RNA from 1 species